rnacentral:tRNA from 1 species
GCGGAUAUAGUAUAGCGGUAGUACGCGACCUUCCCAAGGUCGAAGUACGGGUUCGACUCCCGCUAUCCGCU